rnacentral:rRNA from 1 species
UACGUAGGGUGCAAGCGUUGUCCGGAAUUAUUGGGCGUAAAGAGCUCGUAGGCGGCUUGUCGCGUCGUCCGUGAAAACCCGCGGCUCAACCGCGGGCCUGCAGCCGAUACGGGCAGGCUAGAGUUCGGUAGGGGAGACUGGAAUUCCUGGUGUAGAGGUGAAAUUCGUAGAUAUUGGGAAGAACACCGGUGGCGAAGGCGGCGCUCUGGACCGAGACUGACGCUGAGGCGCGAAAGCGUGGGGAGCAAACAGG